AGCAGCCGCGGUAAUUCCAGCUCCAAUAGCGUAUAUUAAAGUUGUUGCAGUUAAAAAGCUCGUAGUUGAAUUUCGGGAUCAAUAUGUUGGUCGUGCCUCGGUACGUACUAGCUUAUUGGUUUCUCCUUUCUGAAGAACCAUGAUGUCAUUUAUUUGGUGUCGUGGGGAAUCAGGACUGUUACUUUGAAAAAAUUAGAGUGUUUAAAGCAGGCUCACGCUUGAAUACAUUAGCAUGGAAUAAUGAAAUAGGACGUUUGAUUCUAUUUUGUUGGUUUCUAGGAUCGACGUAAUGAUUAAUAGGGAUAGUUGGGGGCAUUAGUAUUCAAUUGUCAGAGGUGAAAUUCUUGGAUUUAUUGAAGACUAACUACUGCGAAAGCAUUUGCCAAGGAUGUUUUCAUUAAUCAAGAACGAAAGUUAGGGGAUCGAAGACGAUCAGAUACCGUCGUAGUCUUAACCACAAACUAUGCCGACUAGGGAUCGGAUGAUGUUAAUUUUUAAUGACUCAUUCGGCGCCUUAC
rnacentral:misc_RNA from 1 species